rnacentral:lncRNA from 1 species
GCGGCGAUUCUGGAGAGGUUGUCCUUUUCUGGCAUCAGCGUUGCGGCUCGAGGCAAAGCUGGUCCUGUGCCUGCUGUCCAUUGCCGCUAAGGCCUGCUGCUGCCAUUCAGGCGUGUCUCUCUCUCUCUCUCUCUUUCAUGCCGCUCUCUCCACCCCAUCUUGGGACGGCCAGCUCUAAGAAUUCCUGCUACGACACUGAAUUCAACCAGGAGGUGAUGCCACACUCAAUCAGAAACUAUGCUACUGCUGAAGAGGUAUAUUGAGCCCUGCCUGGUUAACCUCCAGUGAGGUUAUUAGAGAAUUGGGAGAGGCUCAAAUCAGCAUCCUGCACCUAGUUAUCAAACCAUUGUGAAGUCUUGAUUCCUGGAUGGCCAGAAAACUUGUCAUUGGUCAAGAGCAACAUUAAGAUCUGCCUGUUACUCAUACUGAUGCUUCCUGCCCAGCAAGUUCAUCAGAGGGCGAGGAUGAAUUACGGUUGCCAUGAAUGUCCUUGUGAGGCAGUUGGGAAGCCUUGGCUGGAUUGUGAAGGAUAUUUGAAAAGUAUUUUAGAGUCCACCAGAUCAUCCAUGUGAGUGACCAUGCAGCAAAAGAAGGAGGGUCCUCUCAGUGAUUAAGCUUCCAAGUUUGCUGGAGCCAUGUUUUCUCUAAUGUCCCCACAGAACAGUGGUUGGUAGGAUGGCGGAGACAUGGACUUCAGAGAGUUCUUGGUAGAAGACUCAAAGAGCCACCUGUCAUGAGACAUCCCACUUCCUUCCCCAGGUUACUUCCAAGACUGAGCAGCCAGGUUUUUGGUAGAUGAGAACAAAUGUUUCUUCCUGAAGCCCUGGGGCUUCAGGUAGGAAGAAGGACUGCUAUACUUGUUCUCACCCUUGGCUUCUGGCUGCUCCAGUUAAACAUGGUUCCCAUUGAUACAGACAUUAGAGUGGGAAAGGACUUCGUUCAUAGACCGAAGACCCUCAAAGGAAAGUCCUUCCAUUUUGGGAAGGGUGACAUUGAUUUCGUUUAGCUGCUUAAGAUAUGUACUUGCUGUUGUCUUGUGAGACAUGACAUCUGAAGCUGAAGAGGAGUCCCUCUCAUUGUUGUCAUUGUCCCACCGGGACUGAAAGUCUCCCAGUUGAGGCAGCAUUUUAGCUUUGAUGUCUACAGGGCAAUCAUGGAUCAGGAAAUUUCUGCAAAUUAGACUUGGAAAACAAGGUCUUGAUCCUUCUUGUCUUUGGACGAAGACUAAUCAUCACUUUUGACUGAAGGUGUAGUGCUGGAGACUAUGUUGGAGGCAGCACCUGAUGCACUAUCCAUAUUCUUCCCCUUGAUCUUGUCUUAAAGUUUUCCAAAUGGAUUCCGAGGCUUGUCUUUGAUGAAAAGGUCAAACAUACUGGCAGUCAUGUUGUUUCUCAUAAGCUGGAUGUCAACCUCAAUUUCUCCUCUUUAUCCUUCUCUCCUGGUUUGGAUUUCAAGGUAUACCACCGCAUCUUCCUGCUCCCCUAGUCUGGGUGCAGGUCCUGCAGGUACACCUCGGCGAAGCCCAAGUACAGUAGCAGCAGCACCUCAAAGGUGGCCUCCUCCUCUGACACUGAGGUGGCAUACUUCUCCUUACCCACCUGAAUCACCGAGUACAUGUUGCUUGUACCGUCAGGCUCUUGGUUCUUGGCCCCUGGCCCUAUGCCUGCAACACUGUCACCUGCACGUGGAUUGGGAACCACAUAGCCCCCGGACCUGCUAAGGCCAUUAAGGACAGGAUGGUGAUGCCUCGGCUGACUGACGUGAGAAGAUUGUCAUGACCCAUGGCCUCU